rnacentral:rRNA from 1 species
UACGAAGGGGGCUAGCGUUGUUCGGAAUUACUGGGCGUAAAGGGCGCGUAGGCGGCUCUGAUCGUCGGAUGUGAAAGGCCUGGGCUCAACCUGGGAAUGGCAUCCGAUACGGCGGGGCUGGAGUGUGGGAGAGGUUGGUGGAAUUCCCAGUGUAGAGGUGAAAUUCGUAGAUAUUGGGAAGAACACCGGUGGCGAAGGCGGCCAACUGGACAGUGACUGACGCUGAGACGCGAAAGCGUGGGGAGCAAACAGG